AUCCAGCCGACGAGUCCCAAACAAGAUAAAACACGCUUCCUGGAU
rnacentral:hammerhead_ribozyme from 1 species